GCUUACACUCGCCACAAGCCACAUCGGAGUCACAUCAGUACAUUACAUAAUCAUCAAGAGUAAGAGCAGGGUCCGACUACGGACGAAAACAAACGACAAAAGAAGAACGACGUCCAUCCUUGCUAUCCCAGGCUGCCGGCCUGGAACCCAUCCUAGAUCGAUGAUGAAGAAGAAGAAGAAGCAACUCCAAAUGAACAAUCAACGCGCUCGCGUCACGUAACCUUUACCUGUACCUGCAACUGGGGUUGUAGUAAUCUGUGAGCCACAGGGGACUCAGCAAUCUCAUUUACAAAGGUAUCAAGACUAGCAAAGCUUUAUGGGUGAGGUAAGGUUAAGUGGUGAGGUUGCAGCAGCGGCUAAGCAUAUAUUUGGUGGCUAACUUGCGAGUACAAGAAGUAAGAGGGGGAAGAUCUACGCAUAACUGACGUGAACUACUGAUGAUCAAAUGAAUGAUCCUGAACACCUACCUACGUCAGACAUAACCCCACCGUGUCCUCGAUCGGAGUAAGAACUCACGAAAGAGACAGUCACGGUUACGCACACAGUUGGCAUGUUUUAAUUAAGUUAGCUUUAAGUUAUCUAGAACCAGUGUUAAACAAAGCUUCCACGUUGCCACAUAACCGCGGGCACGGCUUUUCGAAAGAUUUAACCCUGCAGGGGUGCUCCAACUAGUCCAUCACAAAUUACCACAAGCCGCAAAGAAAUCCUCAAUCACGAAGCUCGCGAUCUCGUCGGAUUCCCUAGUGGAAAACCUCAACUCUGAGAUUACCCAAAGCAUCACCGGAAUCCCGAUGCACAAGAUAUUCCGUCAAAGGUAAAACUAAUCCAGCAAGGCCGCCCGGCGUGUCGAUGAUCCCGAUAGGAGCCGCGUAUCUCGUUCUCAGGACACGACGGAUAAGCACAUCGUACGGUGGCCUGAUAGAAAUCUCCCGAGUUGCCCCGGGUUGGCCCCGCAAACGGCUCUAGUUUUGGACCAGCACCAACAGCACUGCCCCCCUGUAUUAUGUAGAAUUACUCCUCGGGUAGCGCUAACUCCCUAUGCAUUUCAAUAUUAUCAAGUUAUUAUGUUGGGCAAAUAGUACCAAUGUUGGGCCUUGCCAGACCAGCCUUAAUCUAAAACGAAUUAUCAAGGGGGUCCCCAUAACAACCCCGAUUGUGUUAGGAGCGCUCGUUUAUGGAACAUAACACCGGUAGCCGAAAACUAAGGGGGCAAAGGUGGAACAAAACACCAGGCUAGAAAGGCCGAGCCUUCCACCUUUUACCAAGUAUAUAGGUGCAUUAAAUAAAAUAGCAUUAAUAUGGUGAUAUAACACGGAACCCAUGUUUUCACAUGGAAGCAACUGCACCUGCAACUAGCAACGCUACACAGGGUUAAGCAAGCAGUAACAUGGCCAAUCAGUGGUUUGCUAGGUUGAACAGGUUGAAGGUUUCAUGGCAUUGUUGAGAGGCUAAAUUAAACAGGUGGUAGGCAACGAGACAUCAUCGAUAGAAGCGAUAGAACUAGCAUGGCAAUGAUAGUAAUGGUAUCUGGGGAAAUGAUCAUCUUGCCUGAGAUCCCGCUUGGAAGAAGAAUGCCUCCGUGAAGCAGACGAACCGACGUAGUCGAACGGGUCCUCACAUCCGACACGCUUGCGGA
rnacentral:lncRNA from 1 species